rnacentral:rRNA from 1 species
GGCGUGCUAUACAUGCAAGUCGAACGCUUUGUGGUUCAACUGAUUUGAAGAGCUUGCUCAGAUAUGACGAUGGACAUUGCAAAGAGUGGCGAACGGGUGAGUAACACGUGGGAAACCUACCUCUUAGCAGGGGAUAACAUUUGGAAACAGAUGCUAAUACCGUAUAACAAUGACAACCGCAUGGUUGUUAUUUAAAAGAUGGUUCUGCUAUCACUAAGAGAUGGUCCCGCGGUGCAUUAGCUAGUUGGUAAGGUAAUGGCUUACCAAGGCGAUGAUGCAUAGCCGAGUUGAGAGACUGAUCGGCCACAAUGGGACUGAGACACGGCCCAUACUCCUACGGGAGGCAGCAGUAGGGAAUCUUCCACAAUGGGCGAAAGCCUGAUGGAGCAACGCCGCGUGUGUGAUGAAGGGUUUCGGCUCGUAAAACACUGUUGUAAGAGAAGAAUGACAUUGAGAGUAACUGUUCAAUGUGUGACGGUAUCUUACCAGAAAGGAACGGCUAAAUACGUGCCAGCAGCCGCGGUAAUACGUAUGUUCCAAGCGUUAUCCGGAUUUAUUGGGCGUAAAGCGAGCGCAGACGGUUAUUUAAGUCUGAAGUGAAAGCCCUCAGCUCAACUGAGGAAUUGCUUUGGAAACUGGAUGACUUGAGUGCAGUAGAGGAAAGUGGAACUCCAUGUGUAGCGGUGAAAUGCGUAGAUAUAUGGAAGAACACCAGUGGCGAAGGCGGCUUUCUGGACUGUAACUGACGUUGAGGCUCGAAAGUGUGGGUAGCAAACAGGAUUAGAUACCCUGGUAGUCCACACCGUAAACGAUGAGUGCUAGGUGUUUGAGGGUUUCCGCCCUUAAGUGCCGCAGCUAACGCAUUAAGCACUCCGCCUGGGGAGUACGACCGCAAGGUUGAAACUCAAAGGAAUUGACGGGGACCCGCACAAGCGGUGGAGCAUGUGGUUUAAUUCGAAGCAACGCGAAGAACCUUACCAGGUCUUGACAUCCCUUGACAACUCCAGAGAUGGAGUGUUCCCUUCGGGGACAAGGUGACAGGUGGUGCAUGGUUGUCGUCAGCUCGUGUCGUGAGAUGUUGGGUUAAGUCCCGCAACGAGCGCAACCCUUAUUACUAGUUGCCAGCAUUCAGUUGGGCACUCUAGUGAGACUGCCGGUGACAAACCGGAGGAAGGUGGGGAUGACGUCAAAUCAUCAUGCCCCUUAUGACCUGGGCUACACACGUGCUACAAUGGCGUAUACAACGAGUUGCCAACCCGCGAGGGUGAGCUAAUCUCUUAAAGUACGUCUCAGUUCGGAUUGUAGGCUGCAACUCGCCUACAUGAAGUCGGAAUCGCUAGUAAUCGCGGAUCAGCACGCCGCGGUGAAUACGUUCCCGGGUCUUGUACACACCGCCCGUCACACCAUGAGAGUUUGUAACACCCAAAGCCGGUGGGGUAACCUUCGGGAGCCAGCCGUCUAAGUUA